UCAAACUUGCAGCGAUCUUCCUGCUUCAGCCUCUGGAGGGCUGACAUUAUAGGCAUGCACCACCACACCCGGUUUACUUAUUACUAACUUUUUUGUUUUGGGGGUUUUUUUUGUUUUUUUUUUACAGGGGAUCAAACUUGAGUCUAGGCGUUUGCGAGGCAGGCGGCAGAACCACUGAGCUAACUCCCCGGCCCUAUUACCAACUUUUAAUACUUGAUGCUAACCCCUCCAAAACACUGCUCUUGUCCUGUCAGUGGAUGAUGGUCAAGCUCAGGGGCCACAGACCAGAAGAGGGCGCUCUCGGGCUCCCCGCCGGGGAGAGGAGAAUCACAACCUGAAGAUUCCACCCAUCCCUUGCCAGUAUCUCUCCUGUCUUCCUCAGCUUGACUCGCUGCAUGGUACUGGUACUCAGAUCCCUCUGCCUGUGCUGCUGGGAGUCACCGCUAAGAGGCUCACACCACACUGCACGGUUAUUAAACCUUCCGGUAAUUCACAAAGAACAAUAGACAUGAGAUGACCAUGCACCCUACACAAGGCUACCAAGGC
rnacentral:lncRNA from 1 species